UUUAUGUCAAAACAUCAAAAUAAACACAGAAUUGGAAUGAUCAAAUCCAUAAAUGUGUUCUUUGGGAUUGUUUUCCUGAGACUUUUAAGUUGAGAAUUCUCAUAUUUUCCUAAACUUCGAUAAAUAAUUUCUUUGCUUUGCAGUAUUUUUUUUAUUUAAGUUGGAGUUGAGGGGUGGUGGUCAAAACAGCUUUGCUCAGAAGUUUUCCCUGUACAGGGUUGACUGCACUUGCCUCUGUCUUCCUUUCUGCCACGAGGUUUCUCAGGGCUUCCAGUGGAUUGAAUCAUGGCCCACAAAAGUUAGGUCCACGUGGAAGCUCAAAAGGUGACCUUAUUUGGUAGGAGGGUCUUUAUAGAUGUAACUAAGGUAAGGGUCUCAAAGUGAGAUCACCCUGUGUCAGUGCCCACCCUAAAUCCAAUGGCGAGUGGUCUUGCAGAGACACCCUGAGGGGACAGGCAUGUGAAGACAGAGGCAGAGAUAGAAGUGAUGUGGCUGUAAGCCAGGAGCUGCUGGCACCCAUCACAGGGUAGAAGACAGGCGUGGAACAGAUCCUCUCACCAGACCUCCAGGUGGAACCAACCUACUGACACCUUGAUGGACUUCUGGCCUCCAGAAUUGUAAAAGAAUAAAUUGCUGUCAUUUUACACUUAUAGAAAUAUGUUACAGCAACCCUAGCAAACUAUGCAGGACCCCUAGGUAUUCAUAUUCCUUACUGUCUUUAGUUGAUUUUAACCCUAUAUCUUAUUUCUGUUGUUUGUUUCUCCUUCUCUGAACUAGUCCUGUUGGAAUUUUCGUUUCUUGGUAUUGGACCAUUUCUCCCUAGAUGGAUAUUCGUUAAGGCCUCUAACCUUCAGUUUCCUUGUCUGUAAAAUGACUGUGCGUACCUACUGCCUAGGGUUGGUUGGGAGGAUUAAGUGAGUUAAUAGACGUAUACACUCUUACAAGCACCUGGCACAUAGCAGAUGCUGACUACAUACUGUUACCUCUGUCUUUAGGUUCUGUCCCCACUUCUGAAGAGGUGGCUCGACUUGCAGCUUCCUCAAAAUGAAUGGUACACUUCCUUCCAUCCUAUGGGUUACUGCUGAAAACACUGCACUUUGCUCAUGGGUCCUGAGAUUAAUUUUGAACUAGGUAACUAGGUUUUCUGCAAAUCCCCUCAUAAUCUUCACCAACGAACUGAAAGCCUUUGUGGUGUCAAAGCAUGUCACGCUUUAGCUCAGUGGGCUUGGUGACAGCAAACGGGCUCAAGGCCAUUGCAUGUUCCAACCUAUAAGUCAGUUUACUGAUCUUUUCUGUGGCUACAGCCUAACUUUGGGCAUCAUUUUGCAAGUGCGGGCCACUGGGUCUCUGGGGACAGAGCAAAAAGACCAUAGGAGUCCUGUAAAAAUCCACCAGCCUGGUUGGAAAAAUAAAAGUACAUUCAUGUUGAUAGGUUAGCAGAGUCCUAAGAGGAGUUCCUGUCGUGGCUCAGUGUUUAACAAACCCGACUAGUAUCCAUGAGGAUGAAGGUUCGAUACCUGGCCUUGCUCAGUGGGUUAAGGAUCCAGCAUUGCUGUGAGCUAUGGUGUAGGCUAGUAGCUACAGUGCUGAUUUAACCCCUAGCCUAGGAACCUCCGUAUGCUACAGGUGCUGCCCUAAAAAACAAAAGACAAAAAAAAGUCAUCUUGAAGAGUAAAUAUGGAGCAUCCAUGUAAUUAGUUAUAAAUUGCCUCAUUUGCAAAGAACAAGUGUGUCUGAGGAUGGUGAAAAUUUAGCAUCUCUUUAGCGGCUGGAAGCAAACCAAAGAAUGAAUGAUUUUUAUCCAAAAUCAAUAACACAUUGAGGAACAGCUCUGCAGAACAAAACCAAAAGCCUUGUCAGGUUAAAAAAGACUGUAGCUCUUAUUCCUUCAUCUGCAGAGUCCUUCGGUGUCAUUGAUGGUUAAUUUGGGCUUCUCUUUAUGAAACCAUGUUGUGUGUGCAUCACUUUUAGGUCCUUAAAAAAGUAAGUAAAGGAUUUAGCCUUAGAAGUUUAUAAUUUCCAGAAUCUUCUGAGAAGACUUAGAGGUUUGAUCAUUCAUCCAUAUAUUUUCCAAAGGGCCUCUAUUUUUUUUCUCUUUACAUUCUUUUAAAGAAAUCGUUAUUUUCCAUCAUGUUUUAUCCUAGGAUGUUGAAUACACGCCUCUGUGCUGUGCGGUAGGACCGUGUUGAUCAUCCCUCCCCCCGCUGUUCUCCUUGUCCGUGAAUCUGUUUCUGUUGAGUAGAUAGGUUCAUUUGUGCCAUAUUUCAGAGUUCACAUAUAUGUGAUAUCAUAUGGUAUUUGUCUUUCCCUUCCUGACUUCAUUUAGUAUGAGACUCUCUAGUCGCAUCCAUGUUGCUGCCAAUGGUGUGAUUCCAUUCUAUUUUAUGGCUGAGUAGUAUUCCAUUGUGUAUAUGUACCACAUCUUCUUAAUCCAUUCCUCUGUUGAUGGACAUUUAGGUUGUUUCCAUGUCUUGGCUGUUGUGAAUAGUGCGUCUAUGAACAUAGGGGUGCACGUACCUUUUUGAAUUAUACUUUUGUCUGGAUGGGUGUAAAGGGCCUCUCUUCUGACUUUACUCAAUGCCAUGAUCCGUAUGCUGUCCUAACAUGAGAACCUAAGUAUGAGCGUAUCACUUUAAAAGAUAUAUCAGUAGACAAUUUAAUGGUUUCCCUUUAGUACGAGGCUUUGUAGGUCGGCAAAUCAGGGGCUUGAUAACGAGGGCACUGUGGGAUGUUGAACUAAGUCAGUUCAUUGGGGCUUCAGUCUUAGGAGGGUUGGGUGAAGCUCUCCUUAUGGGUAAUUGAAGCUUCAGGUUGCCAAGUGGUGGGUGACUAAGAGGUAGCUGUUUGGGAUCAAGGGUAAAAUUGUAAUUGGAUGAUGAGCAUUCUCAAAGGGGACAUAGCAAUUUUCCGAAUUGCAUAAUCUAAUGGUUUGAAAUUUAGAAAGUAGUGAUAUCACCGUUCCAUCUUUUAAAAGAACAUACAUCUCCCUCUGUAGUUAUUUUGUGUAUUAUGUUUAAUAACAGCGAUAGGCCAAUGCCAAAGGAUACGACGGUCAGGACAGAAACAGGCCUUCGGGGUGUAUUGGACAGUGUGGUCGGAGAGUUUCAGUCUUAUGCAGUUGUGUUUUCUUUUCUGCUAUUUAUUUAUUUAUUUAUUGCUUUUUAGGGUCACACCCGAGGCAUAUGGAGGUUCCCAAGCUAGGGGUCAAAUUGGAGCUAUAGCUGCUGGUCUACACCACAGCUACAGCAACACGAGAUCCGAGCCGUGUCUGCGACCUACACCACAACUCACAGCAACGCUGGAUCCUUAACCCACUGAGCAAGGCCGGGGAUCGAACCCACAUCCCUAUGGAUGCUAGUCACAUUCGUUAACCACUGAGCCACGAUAUAACUCUUUGGUUGUGUUUUCUUGAUGAAAUUCCUGGCAAAGUCUUCCUAGGCCUUCAAAGCCUCCUCCUUCUCUUUGUUCUCAUUACAUUUCUUGUACCAACUUUCCAAGAGGCUCACCUGUGCUCAAAAGAAUUGAGGUCAAAUAUAUUCCUUCACAGAUAAUAACUAAUGAAUCACUCUCUUUAUUGGUAUUUAACAAACUGUAUGUUGAAAAAACUAGGAAACUCAGAAAAUGUCAAAGACCUGCUGUAAGUCAUUACAUUCAGAGUUUAGAGAGAGUAGGAAUUACGCCCGUUAAACUCUGGAGAGGCUGGAGCUCCCAUUGUGGCUCAGUGGUUAAGACCCGGACUAGUAUCCAUGAGGAUGUGGGUUCGAUCCCGGGCCUUGCUCAGUGGGUUAAGGAUCCGGCGUUGCUGUGAACUGUUGUGUAGGUCGCAGAUGUGGCUUGGAUCCCAAGUUGCUGUGGCUGUAGUAGCUGCAGCUCUGAUUUGAGCCCUAUCCUGGGAACUUCCCUAUGCUGCAGAUGCUUCCCUAAAAAGAAUUUUUAAAAAAAUACAGUGGAGAAGUGGAGAAUUUGAGGUCCACUCAGUGAAAGAUUAAUCUGGGAUUGGUUUCUUUUUCUUUCUUUCUUUCUUUGUCUUUUUGUCUUUUUAGGUCUACACCUGUGGCAUAUGGAGGUUCCCAGGCCAGGGGUCGAGUCGGAGCUGUAGCUGCUGGCCUACACCACAGCCAUAGCAACUCAGGAUCCGAGCCAUGUCUGCGACUUGUAUCACAGCUCACAGCAAUGCCGGAUCCAUACCUCACUGAGCAAGGCCAGGGAUCGAACCUGCAUCCUCAUGGAUAGUUGUUGGGUUCAUUAACCAUGGAUGGAAACUCCUGGAACUGAUUUCUUAAUGUGUGUGUGUGUGUGUGUGGCCAGUGGAAAAUACGCUGGACUAGGAGUUAAGAAACUUGAAUACUUUUUGCUAUGUUGCUGUGUAACUCUGGGCAUAUCACUUAAUUUUGCAGGGCAUCAGAUUUCCCAUCAGAAAAAUGAGAGUAUCUGGUCAGAUU
rnacentral:lncRNA from 1 species